rnacentral:lncRNA from 10 species
GGUGUGAACCUGGGAGGUGGAGGUUGCAGUGAGCUGAGAUCGCGCCACUGUACUCCAGCCUGGGUGAAAGAGCAAGACUCUGUCUCAAAAAAAAAAAAAAAAAAAAAAGAGCAGUGAGGCCAGACACAAUGGUUUCUUUCUUUCUGAUAAAUAAAAGCCCAUAUUUGUAAAGAGUCCAGCAUAUCGGAAGUGUCCCUUAGAUGUUAGGUUCUGGCCAAGGACCCCCAGUGCCUAGCAAAGUGGGCAUCCAAUAAAUGUGGGUUGAACAGACAAAUAAAUUUAGAGGACUUCGCUUACGGCUCUGGCAAUCUUGACCUAAAAAAUUAAUGAAAUGUGUAAAAAUGUACUCCAAAAAUUCCAGCAAUAUGCUAUUGGUUAGCUUAUGCCUUUAUUCCCCACCUCAUUCCAACAAUAUGAAAUUGGUGUAGUUUUGUUUGUAAAGAAAUGUCAGGAUAGGCAGGAUGUGGUGGCUCACGCCUGUAAUCCCAGCACUUUGGGAGGCCAGGAGGGCGGAUCAUUUGAGCUCAGGAGUUCGAGACCAGCCUGGCCAACAUAGCAAAACCCUAUCUCUACAAAAAAUACCAGAAAAAUUAGCUGGGCGUGGUGGUGUGUGCCUGUAGUCCCAGCUACUUGGCAGGCUGAGGUGGGAGGAUUGUUUGAGCCCAGGAGGUUGAGGCUACCGUGACCUAGGAUUGCACCACUGCACUCCAGCCUGGGUGACAAAAGUGAGACCCUGUCUCAAAAAAAAGAAAAAAGUCCGGGUGUGGUGGCUCAUGCCUGUAAUCCCAGCACUUUGGGAGGCCAAGGUGGGCAGACCACCUGACGUCAGGAGUUCGAGACCAGCCUGGCCAACAUGGUGAAACCCUGUCUCUACUAAAAAUACAAAAAAAUAAAGUUAGCCAGGUGUGUUGGCAUGUGCCUGUAAUCCCAGCUACUCGGGAGGCUGAGAGGCAGGAGAAUCACCUGAAUCUGGGAGGUGGAGGUUGCAGUGAGCCGAGAUCACACCAUUGCACUCCAGCCUGGGUGACAGAGUGACUCCAUCUCAAAAAAAAAAAAAAAAAAACACAGAAAUGUCAGGAUGAGUAAGCUGAGUACAGAGUAAAACUUGACAUUAAGAAGAAAAUCUGCCCCAGCUGAGUGGCCAGGGGAACCUCAGCUCCAGCUGUUCAUUGUGUUGGGCAGCAGUGGUGGGAGGGGUGCCGGGGUGCUUUGCAGAAAAAAGAAUCGCAGCUGCAAAUACAAAUUGCAUAUUCCUAGACCUUUGAAAGAUAACAAAGACUUCUGCCCUCAACUGAUGAUGUCCUGUGUUAAAAUCACUUGGCUAGGUAGUUAAAACUGUUUGAAAUGACCUGGUCACUUUCUGAUGUGGACGUGCAAUACACAUGUAAAGCUGGGUACCAGAUUUGACUCUUGUAAACUUCAACCAGGUAGUUUUGAAAACACCCUAGAAGUGAACAACCUUGAAUGUCCUGAAGAUGUGGGAGUGUUCGACAAGAUUCAGGCAGCUGCAGAAUGAGGACGGUUGUCAGUGGGUGACGUGUUCAAGCUGCUCAGGCCCCUCACCGGGAUGAGCAGAAAGGUCAGCAUUUUCUUAGCCCAGGGAGGCUUAGUACUCUUGAGGCAAAGAAAUCCUGCAGCAUAAGUAAGAUCCAGCGCAGAGAAUACCCGAGGGUGAACCGUGAUGAGAAGUCUCAGAGCGCACUGCGUAAUUACCACGUGUAGAAAGCAAAACGUUGACAAGACACGGCCGUUAGCAAAAAGCCGAACGGUUACUACGCUCAACGAGAAAAGGAAACUGGGAGGGUUGAAAAAAAGAAACGAAUAAUUGGCAAAUUCCAAGAGGCUCUUUCAGGAAGAGACAGUUGGGUGGUUUUGUGAAAGCAGAGGUGACUCUUGGACCACAAACAUGAAGCCCACAGGGAGAGCCGGGUGAAAAAGGAAGGACAGAAGCUAAACAGCCAAAGAAAACCCAAAGCGUACUUCAGACAUGCCAAGGCCAAGAGGCUCUGUAUCUAAAAAGGAGCCCAAGUGAGUAGGACCAGUUGGAAGGCACACUUAAGAGUGUAAGCAAGACUCACAGGAACCUACUGUGUCUCGCCUUGGACUUCAAGCUGAUGCUAAGAUGGCGUUUCACACCCUGAGUGGGGAAACGAAGGAAACUGACGGGGGUGCUGAAAUUAAACAUCCCUCCUCUGGACCUCCAGGCUGCACCCCACCCUCGGCCACAUCAAUGGCACAGGACUUAAAACUGGACGCUCUCUAUCCACUGGUAGCUCAUGCAUUCCAGAAUCAACCUACACAGAUCAUGCUCCUCCCUCAGUGCCUGAGAGUUCUGCACAGGACGCUCUCAGAAUCUAGAGGCUCCAGGCUGGGGCCAGGUCCAAGUCCCAGUUGACACCUCAGUGCCUGAGUGUUCUGCACAGGACGCUCUCAGAAUCUAGAGGCUCCAGGCUGGGGCCAGGUCCAAGUCCCAGUUGACACACUAUCUCCAGCCCAGGCCAGGGCUUCCCUGGUAAAUCAAUCUCUGAAGGCAGUCAUGGUACCAGCCUCAGUUUUAUUUAUUUAUUUAUUUAUUUAUUUAUUUAUUUAUUUAUUUAUUUAGAGAAGGAGUUUCGCUCUUGUUGCCCAGGCUGGAGUACAGUGGUGUGAUCGCAGCUCACUGCAACCUCUGCCUCUUGGGUUCAAGCGAUUCUCCUGCCUCAGCCUCCUGAGUAGCUGAGAUUACAGGCGUGCAACCACCAUGCUCAGCUAAUUUUUGUAUCAGCCUCAGUAUUAUUUUAAAGGAACUUAAAAUGGUUAAACUUUAAAAUGGGGUGAAAUGAGGCAGUCCCCAGGAUGGCCAGACAUUUAUGGGGCUGUAAGGUUCCCAAUGUGAUGCCUGUCCGGGGAAUGACUCCGGAGAGUCCUGGGACCCAACUGCCACAGCGUCUCCUAUCUCUCCUGGGAAAACUGGGAGGAUGGAUAAGUGACAGUGGAGGCAGAGAAACUUCAGUUUAGCUGCUCAGCAUUUUCCCUAACUCACUCAUGAUAACUACAUACCCAGUUCCAUCCUAACUCGGAACAGCCAGAUCCCACUGAAAACCCUGGGUCACUGGAACAGGAAGACAAGAGCCACAUUUGAAACUGCCUCUGCUCUAGGUCAUCAGCUUUCUCUAAUUUGGUGUCCCUGCCCCAUCAGCUCUGUGCAGAAGAGCACAUUGUGGCUGGGGGUUAAGAACAAAUAAGACAGUGCUGGCUGUGAGACCCUGGCUGGGUUACUUAACCUCCUUGAAACUGCAGAACAAGGAUAUGAAGGCAUGACUUCACUGGGCUACUGUGAGAAUGAUGAGAAUAAUGCAUUAAGCCCACGGCAGGGUGCCUGGCACACACGGAGCACUCCGGGGAGCUAUUGUUCUCACUCCUCAUUAGAAGGGACAAACCUGAGAUGAAGCUCUUAUUUGGCAAGGUCUGGGUGAUCUGGUGCACUCAGGCCUCUCAAUUUAUAUGAAAAGUCAGAAUUCAAUUAAGGGAAGAUGACAUAAACCCAAGAAAAGCCUGCUAGAGAUUUGCCCAGGAAUAGCCCUCUCCCCUGUCACCUGCCUGAUGGGGAGCUGCUGAAUUUUCACAGCAUCAUCCUCAAGGCUCUCACAGAUCAGAGCAGAAUCCCUGACCCCAGACCCGGAAUCUCUAAAUUUGCGUGUGACCUCCUCUCCCUUUGUGGCACAUGAAGAUUUCUAGUGAUCUCUCCAGGCAGAAUACAGUAUUCCUUCCUUUCCCUCACCGCCACCGCCAUCAGACGCCAAUUAUAUUCAAUGUUUUCCUUAAAAUGCAACAUGAGACCUAUCGUUGAAGUCUUGCACCAAUUUUCUCUUCUUAUCCCCAAACUCAGAUUUGCACAGCAGGCCGCCACUUUAUAGACAAAACGGUGCGUGGAGUUUGAAGCACACAUAUAUGCCUAUGACUCUUUAAAAAAAAAAAAAACGCUUUGAGGUAUGAUUGACAUGAACAACUGUACAUAUUUAAUGUAUACAUUCAAUGAAUGUAAAUUCAAGGAGGCACCAGACGAGAGUUCUGGAGCUCCGUGAGGGUAGCUAAGGAAGCAAAUGGGAUGGGCUCUGCCAGGCUUAGGAAGGAAGAGGUGGUGUCUGAGCACUCACCUGGACUUCUGCAAGGUCAGCAAACACAGGAGCAGUCGCUGAGCAGCGGUGCAAACACACCAGCUCUCCAACGGGUGCUUCACUGCACUUCCCUGCAGAGACCAUUCUAAACCAAACUCAGCGCCUGGGAAGGCUCUGCCCCUCAGGAUCUGCCCCUCAUCCUUGUGGCCUAUUGCUGUCGACCUGACUGGAUGGAGGGGUCCCUAGAUGGCUGGUGUGUCUGUGAGGGUGUUUCCAGGGGAGAUGGCAUGGAGGUCAGUGGGCUGAGAGGGGAAGAUCUGCCCUCAAUGUGGGUGGGCACCACCCAACGGCUGGGGGCCCAGUAGGGACAAAGCAGACAGAAGGGGAACAUUCAGCUCCCUCUUGCUUCCCCUCCCUUCUGGAGGGAGACACUUUUUCUCCUCCUGCCCUUGGACAUCAGGCUUCAGGUCCUUCUGCCUUUGGACUCUGCAACCCCCUGGGGGCUCUCAGACCUUCAGCCUCAGACUAGGGGCUGCACUGUCGGCUCCCCUGGUUCUGAGGCGUUCAGACUUGGACUGAGCCACGUUACCGGCUCCUCUGGUUCUGCGGCUUGUAAACAGCCUGUCAUGGGACUUUGCCUUCGCAACCAUGUGAGUCAAUUCUUCCCAAUAAAUUCUCUUUCACAUGUAUCCUGUUGGCUCAGUCCCUCUGGAGCACCCAGACAACUACAGCACAGGAAGCAGUUCAUCACAGACUGGGGCUGGGGGAGAGGCAGGAAUAAAGGCUGCGGACUGUCAAAGAUACCCAGAGAGGGGCUAGGAAGUCGGGAGGGUGGGAGGUGCAGCAGAUGCAGCCACCGGGCACCAAACUGCAGCAAGGUCUCUGACCCCAGCUUCUUGCACCUCACCACGGGAUGCAGCAAUUCCGCUCCUCGAUACAGACCCAGAGGCCAUGAAAGCUGGGACUUGAACAGCCUCUCCUAAUUACACGGUCUAAGCUGGUGACCCCAAGAGGACGACAGUUCUCCUUCUGUCCUCCAUUACGAACUGCCUGAGAAGGACAGCCCCUCCCACGUGAGCUCACUCCCAGGACAAUUAGCCUUGACUUGGUGGCAGUCAGCAGCACAGACAUGACUUUCUGCAGAGGAAGGGAACUGUGCACGGUGGAGCCACCCACUGCCUACAGACAACGGCUAAACCCUCAGAACUACAUUUAAGGAUCCUCAAAAUCUGGCCCAAAAGCUUCUGUGUAAACCAAGGAUGAAAACUGAAAUGUGGGUGGGUCAUAACAGGGUGUGGCCUGGGACAGGAGCACAAGCAGAGAGCGGACCACAGAGCCUGGGGCAAGGGAGAUUCCACGUCCCCUCGAAAGGUGUUCUGGUGAAAAUGAAACAUCUUGAUUUUUUUUUCAAUUUUUUAAUUCAUUUAUAUUUUAAUUAAUUAAUUAUUUUGAGAGAGAGUCUCACUCUGUCACCCAGGCUGGAGUGCAGUGGUGCCAUCUUGGCUCAUAGCAACCUCCGCCUCCCGGGUUCAAGCAAUUCUCCUGCCUCAGCCUCCGGAGUAGCUGGGAUUACAGGCACCUGCCACCACGUCCAGCUCAUUUUUGUAUUUUUAGUGGAGACGGGGUUUCACCAUGUUGGCCAGGCUGGUCUUGAACUCCUGACCUCAGGUGAUCCACCUGCCUCGGCCCCCCAAAGUACUGGGAUUACAGGCAUGAGCCACCACACCAGGCCAAUUAUUCAAUUUUUAAAUAUUCAAUUCAAUUAAUACAAAUCGAAUUUAAUAUUCUAUUCAAAUAAUUUUGAAUUGAAGAAGCAUUGAAAUUGUAUUCAAUAUUACUAGAGAAAAGUGCUCAAUAUUAUUAUUUUUGAAUAAAAAUACUUGAAUCAGUAAAAAUAACUAUUAUUUGGCCAUGUUAUGAACUGUAUUGUGUCCCCCCAAAAUUUAUAUGCUGAAGUCUUAAUCCCCAGUACCUCUGUUUAAAGAGGGAGUUCAGGUCAAAGGAGGGAGUAUGGGCAGCGCCUACCCCAACGGGACCAGUGUCCUCCUGAGAAGAGAAUGUUAGGACUCAGACACACACAGAGGGAAGGCCGUGUGAGGACGCAGGGAAGGCAGCCGUCUACGAGCCAGGAGAGAGGCCUCAAAAUGAAACCAACCCUGCCAACACCUUGAUCCUGGACUUCCAGCCUUGAGACUAUGAGACAAUACAUUUCUGCUGUUUGAGCUGUGCAGUCUGUGGUAUUUGUUAUGGCAGCUCAAGCAAAGAAAUCCAGGCCAUACAAAGGAAUGAAGCGCUGCAGUGAUCCAUGCCACAACGCAAAUGCACCUCGAGGAUGUUACACGAAGUGAAGGAGGCCAGGCAAGAAGGCCACAUCUCGUAUGACUCCACGUACACGAAAUGUCCAGAACAGGCCAGUGUCCAUCACCUGUUCCCAUAGAGGCCCCACCUCACAACAGAGGCUCCUGAGAGGUGUCUGGCCUGGGCACUGGGAGCACAGAUCCAGAGCCAGGCUCUCUGUAGUAGAAUGCCAGCUCCAUAGUUUCUAAUCCCAGGACGCUGGUUAAGUGGCUGAACUUCUCUGUGCCUCAGUUCCUUGUCCGUGAAAUGCGGGUAAUGACAGCACUUACCUCACAGGGUAUGGAAAGGACUAAAUGACUUCAUUCUAGAAAGUGCCUGGCCCUUGGUAAGCUGCUCUUAAGUGUGAUCUGUUAAGGAAAGCUUUAGUUGUUGGUUGACUGUUGGUCUCUCACCCUUUAAAUAGAAAUUCCUUGAGCACAGGGACUCUGACUAGCUAUUCCUGUUCUCCAGCAUCAGGCACUGAAUGAGUGAGAUUCUGGUCCUCGCUGUGAGGGAAAGGAGGUGAUCUCCAGGCACCCUCAGCUCCCAUCUUCUGUGGAUCUGGGAGCCCAGGACACAUAGAAAUCUCUUCCCCAGGCCAUACACCAUUCCUUAUCUAUCUGUGGGCCCAGCCCACACUGAACCUCAGUCCACACUGAACCCUGCUCCACGAGGCACGGAGUUCACCAGGCCUCCAACUUGCCUUGCAAAGGACUCAUGCUUUGUAGUGGCCUCAGGGCUAUUCCAAUGUAGGAAACAGGUAGGGUCAAGGGUGCCGCUGGCAAGUAGGACCUACCCUAUGGUGCCUUGCAGGCCUCCAUCCACGUGGGCCACCCAGCCUCAUUCACAGAGUUCUCCAGGUCAGCCACCUGCCCUACUCUGCACAUGACACUCACACCAGCAUUAACUCAUUUUUGCAGGAGUAACCUCUGAAGACCAGCCCUCAAGUUUCAAGGCCCUGCCAGCCGCUCUGGCCAUCUCCACACCUCCAAGGUUCCAGAGAGGAAAGUUCAAGGAAAGAGUUUUCUCUGUUGGCCCAUUCAGGCCCGGGUAGGCCAGAGGUGGCCAGCAGACCUGACAUCUGGAAAUACAGUGGCUGCACGCAAAAGAUUACAGGCCUUUCCAAAGCAAAGCUGCCGAACCCCUCGGGGACCAUCUUCCUGGGCUGAUGCACUGAGGACCCCUGGCCCUUGGCAGGGUCUUCUGCAGGGGAAACUAAAUCCCACCAGCAAAUGUCAAUGCAUGCAAUCGUGACAGGCCACAAGUCACUGCCAAUCCAAAACCUACUCUUUCACAAAUCCCAGAACAGACUUUUAUUAGGUAUGAGCCACUAGCGUGAAUGUAGCUGCCACUACUUAAGAAAUUGGAAUUUAAGCCCCUCUCUCCUGUAUGUGGGAACAUGAAGGUUUGUUUUGGCAUUCAGAUCUGUUUCCAAUCCAACUGUUAGAAAAAUCACAUUAGGCAGGGGUGAACAUUAUACGGGAGUGUGGAUCACAUCUUGUUUUGCAAUACCCCACAGUGUCUCACUUAUAUCAAGAGGAGGCUGUGAAAAUCUUACAACAUUCCUCUGAAAAAUGAGCUUUCAUUCUCCGACAAGGACAUGUGAGAUUUUGGUUCAGGAGACACUUGGAGAGACGACCAAGCCAGACAGCACACAGCCCUUCCUAGGAGAGAUGGGAAGGUGAGCAGAGACUGGCCCAAUAGCAGCAGGUCACAUGCCAUGAACGUGAUGUGUUGGGAGGAUGGGGGUUGCUCCCCACAGGGACACCUCUGCAUCAAAAGUGCUGGGUAAUUUGGGAGGCCGAGGCAGGCGGAUCACCUGAGGUCAGGAGUUCGAGACCAGCCUGGCCAACAUGGUGAAACCCUGUCUUUACUAAAAAUGCAAAGUAGCCUGGCGUGGUGGCACGUGCCUGUAAUCCCAGCUACCUGGGAGGCUGAGGCAGAAGAAUCACUGGAACCCGGGAGGUGGAGGCUGCACUGAGCCGAGAUUGCACCAUUGCACUCCAGCCUGGGCGACAUCCAUCUCAAACAAAAGAGUGCUGGGUGAGAGGUGACUUGCUGCCUGGUUCCCCAAACAAGAAGGCUCUGCUCCCCGGUACAUCCCUAACACCUUCAAACAGCCCCUUUCCACCUCAUCCAGUAUUUAGCAGCCCUCCUCUGUUAGUCACAGCAGUUGCCCUCCUGAGCCAGGCUUUGGAAGACCCCUGACAUCGAGGUGGGCCACAGGGAACAAUGACAUUUUCCCACCUGCACCAGCACACGCACAUCUGCCUCUGGGUCCCGGAACGCCCAGAGACACAUGUGGAUGGCAUCAAAUGGUAGGUGAGGGUACAGAGUUUUCAGCCCCAAUAAUGACAUGCCCAUAGUCAGAUGUGGGUCUCGCAAAGCUGGGGUCACCAGAGACACUGCCAGUGUCUGGGACCAGCCUCCUCCUGGGCCUGCAGGUUGAGGUUUGCCCAGGACCCUGGCACUCAGUCUCCAUGUGGGUAGUUGUUAGACAUCAGCCUGCCGCCAGGCAUGAAGCUGUGCUCCCUGCACUGCAGGCUCCCUGCACCCCGCCCAUCAGCAGCAGGGCUCCCGGUGUGGCUGAGAUGUCAGAGGCACCCUCUGCACAGCCUGAGAUGGGACUAGUGAGGCCAUGAUGAACUGUAAUUCAGAGAGGAUGAAUUUGGGUUACAGAGGUUAAUAUUCUGCUCAUGGUGAGAAUCAUAAGUGAUCAAAGUCAAGGGCAUAGAGGAUGGUCUGACAUAGCCCCAGACCUGAGGCCAAUCGUGAACUUCAGUGAGGGAAAGACCCAGAGGCACUACUGGAAUGAAUGAAUUAAUGAAUGAAUGUAAGAACAUUUAAACUUAACAGCCCGAAUCCUCUGGAGAGAUGCUAGAUGCCACUCUGAGAUGGGGGAGAAGGGUGGGGAGUUGACUGUAGGGCACCAAUGCAUGGAAAACAGACUGGGAAGGAAUUUGCUAGCCUCAGAUUAUGAGGGAGGCUAGAACCAUAGGGAUGGAAGAAGCUGGUCAAGGAGAGUGGGAAGGGGGAGGAAGGAGAGAGGGCACGGGGACCAAGAAACAGCAAGCUGCAAUAUGAAAAUAGUGGGGGCUGAGCUAGAGAGGCUCAGGAGACAGGGUAAGUAAAAGAUGGGAAGGAAUCCCCAUAGCAUUGACAAUGGUUAACAUCUGUGAAUGCUUUCUAGCCGUUCCAAGCACCUUCCCUAUAUUGAGUCUUUUAGUCCUCAUGACAACUUUGGGCAAUAGACACUAUUACUUUUCCUAUUUUUCAGAUGAGAAAACUACAGCCCAGAGAGGGAAGUAACUUUGCUGAAAUAAGUAAGUCUAUGGUAAGUGGCAGAGAGAUACGAACCAGGCAGUCGAGCUCCAAACCCAUGUUCUUAAGUGCUUCAUUUCACCCCUUUGGUCAGAAGGGAUAGUCAAUAACUGAAUCAACGCAUGGGACAGGGUAGGAGGCAGGAUUCUCACUGAACGAGCUUGUCCAGGGUACCUGAGUGCUGCCAUCCAUAAUAUGAGGGAUUAAAAUACCGACCCCCUUUCACCUGCUGGGAACAGAAUGUGUGUUAGUAUACUCUCAACUCUCUGGGGAAAUGUCUUAGUAUAUACACGGUUUAGUUUUUAAUCUUAAACAAGAUGAGGCCCCGAAGCCACUCACUCUGCCCCUGCUCCACAAUGAAGGGAAAGGGAGGUAAAUGGAGACUCCAGUUCAGAACAGUCUGGACACAGCUGCCCAUGAGAAAGAAGGGCAGAGAAAGGAAUGCCUUCUUGUUCUACGGGAAGCCACGCUCACUUACUCAUGUCUUAGGGAUGAAGCUUCAGAAGUUGUAGCCGGACUAAUUUGCAUAAAUAUUUCAGAUUAAUCUUUUUUGAUAUUUUAAGAAUACAUGGGAAGAAAAUGUAAAUGUAAAAUAUUUAUAAACUUUAACUUAUUUUACUUAUAACUUGCCUCUUCCCAUAAAAGAGCUAUUUAGGUAGAUAUGCUAUAAAUGUUACUAUAGACAUACAAGUAGAAAUCAUGACUAUGACAAAGAGGAGGAAGCCCAUUCUAAGGACUAAACAAGCCAAUAUGAUUUGGCAUCUGUUUUUAAUCAAUGACUGCUUCCUGGCAGCUUGGGCAAAAAGGGAAAUAAGAUGUAUUACAAAGCUCUUGCCAUAGACAGAGGAAGUAGGCUAAUCCCUCUGGCAAAACAAAGCUUUUCCUGGCACUCAAUUCUGAAAGAAAUUUCUCAUGUGAAAUCUUACAUAAAAAACACAGUGACUAAUAGCCUUCUGAAACAUGGGAGCGUGAGACCUGAUUUUUAAGGCCCAGUGGCUUCAUUGGGCCUCUCUGAGAGGAUCCUUGUCCUCCUGAGACACAUUGUCUUAAGCUCCUAGAAUUCCAUUUGGUUUCCUGGCUGAGGACUGAAAAAUCUCAUCUCAGAACUCUACGUCUGGUAUAAUGGCUGUCACGGUGUUCUGUGGAUAGGAAACACUCUUUGAGUCAGUACUGCUACCAAAAGAAGCAAAUGGUUUGUCAAGGAUCCCACCCACUACAUAGAAAACAAAACCAUGAGCUGUGCAGUGCCAGAGCAGCAAGGAACCUGAGGAGCCACGCGGUCCUAAUGGCAACAGAGGCAUCGCUAUCAGGACACAGAGCCUCAAGUCAACAGCAAAGGAAACUGGGCUGGAAUGUCCAGCUUUGCUGCAUCAAGAUCCUCAGAAAUGGCUCAUAUAGUUCCACAGCAGUGUAUCCCCAGGGCUGCUGGCCGUUGGAGAAGCAAAUCUGACCUGGAGGAAAAAUUCUCCAAUUUAGAGUAAGGAGUCCCACAAAUGAUGGUCAAGCAAUGAGCUCAUAAUCAAAGAUUAACGUGGAAGAAGGCAAGGCCCUGUGGAUGAGAGUCAGGAGAAACAAGAAGCAACAAAGAUGUCUCUCCUCCAUACCGAAAUGACCAGAAAUGGAAUUACAGAACAGCUACACAUAAAAUGUUUACAGAAACAUGUAAUCACAAAGAUAAGGAAACAAGAAGAGACUACGAGGACUGAGUAAGAAGUUUUGGGGGAAAUGUAGCAUCUAUACACAAAAAGUAUAAUGGUUGAAAUAAAAACAUUUAAUGGGUGAGUUAAAUAGGAGAUUAGAUAAAGCUGAAGAAUUAAUGAACUGGAACAUAUAUCAAAUAUAUUACCAAGAAUGCAAUUUUAUUAAGACAUAAUGUGGAAAAUAAAAAUGACAUAUGAAGAACAGAAUGAGUCCCAAAAAGAAAGAAUAAAAAAAUUGGAGAAAAGGCAUAUUUAAAAGAGAAUAUAUAUAAAUUUCCUAUGACCAAGUUGAAGAAAAAGAAUAAAUUCACAACUCUAGGAAGCAAAACAUCUGAAACAGGAUAAAUAAAAAGAAAUCAACACCUAUGUACAACAACAGUACCCAACAUCAAGACAAAGAAAAGAUCUUAAAAGUAUUUAUAGACUCUGGGUGCGGUGGCUCACACCAAUAAUCCCAGCAGUUUGGGAGGCCAAGGUGAGAGAUCAUUUGAGCUUAGGAGUUCGAGACCAGCCUGGCAACAUGGCGAGACCCUGUCUUUAUUUAAAUAUAUAUAUAUAUAUAUAUAUAUAUAUAUAUAUAUAUAUAUAUAUAUAUAUAAAAGAACUUAAAAAUAAAAAAAUAAAAAUAAAAAAUUAAAGAAACACAUUUUACCUUUAAAGGCAUGACUAUUAGAAUGACAACAGAUUUAUCAACACAAAUACUAGAAGCCAGCAAAUGGUAGAAUAUCCUCCGAGUGUUGAAAAAAAAGUAUCUGACAGCCUAAAAUUAUGUGUCCAGUAAAACUAACAAUUAGGCUUUGUGCAUCUUACUAUUUAUUAAGUUUACUUCAAUAAAAAAUGAGAAAAAUAGUAGAGUGUGUGUAUUACAACUGAUAGAAACAAAUGAAAAGAAGGGAAUAUAAACACAAAAUAAGAUCAUUAUAAAGGUGAGAACUAGAUAAGCCUAGAAAAAGUGAGACAAUUGGAAAUAUUUUUAAAAUAUUUUUAAGUCCGAAUAAAUCAAUAAAUACUACAUAUCUAAGUAGAGUAAAAUUAUUAGGUAAAAGAAACAGAUUGACAAUUGGAUGAUUAAAAAAUCCAACUAUGUACUGUUUACAGGAGACAUGCCUAACGCAUAAAGGACAUAGACAUAUUAAAAGCAAAAAGUGGCUGGGCACUGUGGCUCACACCUGUAAUUCCAGCACUUUGGGAGGCUGAGGCGAGUGGAUCACCUGAGGUCAGGAGUUCAAGACCAUCCUGGCCAACGGUGAAACCCCAUCUCUUCUAAAAAAAAAAAAAAAUUAAUCAGACAUGGUGGUCCUUGCCUGUAAUCCCAGCUACUCAGGAGGAUGAGGCAGGAGAAUUGUUUGAACCUGGGAGGCGGAGGUUGCAGUGAGCUGAGAUCAUGCCACUGCACUCCAGCCUCAGUGACAGAGUGAGAUUCCAUCUCAAAAAUAUAAAUAAAUAAAAUAAAAGCAAAAAGCUUUAAAAACACAUCUGACUAAUAUCAGCCAAAAAAGGAAAGAAAACAGAAAAAACACCCACACAUAAAACCCCACAAAAAUAUCAACACUCUCAGAGAGAUUUUUUAAACGCGCCUAUGAAACCGGACAUGGUGCUAUUUUAAAAAUUAGAGGAUGAAAGAGAUCUCGCUGCCUGAAAAGGAGGAGAAGGGAGGGAUAAUUUUACAGCGGAAAAAUCAGACACACGUUGCCCCACCAGAUGACUCAAGCUCAACAUCAGCAGCGAUGUCACGCUGAUCUUACGUGCCUUGAUACACUGUGAUGAGGAUACUUCACCUCUGUGACCCUCCUCCUACAUCUCCAUCAGCCCAGUUCAACCAUGAGAAAAACAUCAAACAAACCCAAGUUCAGGAACAUUCUACAAAAUACCUGACCAGUACUCCUCAAAACUGUCAAGGUCAUCAAAAACAAAGUCUGAGAAUUUAUCACAGCUAAGAGGAACCCAGGAAGAUAUGACCACGACUGUAACGUGGCAUCACACAAACUGUCAUGUCAGUCUCUUAAAAAGUUAAUCGUAUACCUAAUAAAUGAUCAACCAUUUGACUCCAAGGAAAUGAAAGCAUGUGUUCAUACAGAGACUGGUCCAAGAAUGUUCCUAGCAGCCUUCUUUGUAAUAGAUAAAAAACUGGCAACAAUCCACAUAUCUAUCAAUUAGCAAAAGGAUAAACAAAUUGUGUUAGAGACAUGCAAUAGAAUAGUACUUGACAAUAAAAAAGAACAAAUUAUUUAUAAAUGCUACACCAUGGGUGAAUCUUGAUAUAAUUACGCUGAAUGAAAGAAACCAUAUCAAGCAAAAUGGUCCAUACUGUAUGAUUACAGUUACAUAGACUUCUUGGAAGCCCAUAAUAAGUUAUAGUAACAGAAAGUUGGUAAGUGGUCACCUGGGAAUGGAGAGAGGGUGGGGAGGUACAGGGAGGAAGGAUUACAAAGAGGCAGGAGGCAGAGCUUACUCUGUGGAGAAGCAAAAAAUAAAACGAAGAGGCAGGAAGGAACUUUUAGGGUGAUGUAUAUGUUUAUUUUCUUUACUGUAGUGAUGGUUUCAUGAGUGUAUGUAUACAUAUAUGUCAAACUUACCAAACUGUACACUUUAAAUGUUAAUUUUCCAUUAUAUUUCAAUGAGACUGUUUAAAAAUAUGAAAUUGAGGCUGAGUGUGGUAGCUUGGGCCUAUAAUCUCAACACUUUGGGAAGCCGAGGCGGGAGGGUCACUUAAGGCCAGGAGUUGGAGACCAGCUUAGGCAACAAAGCAAGACCCCAUCUCUACAAAAAAAAAAAAAAAAAAAAAAUGGUUUUAAUUAGCCGAGUACUGUGGUGCCUGCCUCUAGUCCCAACUACUUGAGAGGCUGAGGUGGGAGAAUCACUUGAGCCCAGGAGUUCGAGGUAGUAGUGAGCCAUGAUUGCACCACUGUACUCUAGGCUGGGAGGAAGAGCAAGAACCUGUCUCAAAAAACAAACCAAAACAAAAAACAACAAAACCCAGAAAAAGAAAAAAAAAAAAAAGAAAUUGGAUCCCUACCCCAUAACAUACACCAAAAUCAAUUCCAGGUAGAUAAACAACUUAAAUGUGAAAAGCAAAAACAUUAAAAUUUUUAGAAGAAAUUAUGAGAGAUUCUCUCUCUAAACUUGGAGUAAGAAAAUGUUCCUUAAACAAGAAACAAAAAGCACUAACCCUAAAAUGAAAAAACAAACAAAAGACAGAUAAGUGCAACUAGAUUAAAAUCAAGAACAUCUGUCAAAACAGAUGUCAAAAAUACAAUGAAGAAAGUCACAAACUGCGAAAUAUUUUCAAUAGGUGUAACAUGACUUCUCGACUAAGGAUUAGUAUUCACAAUACAUAAAGAACUCUUACAAGUCAAUAGGGCCCAGUUUCUAGGUAGAUGGAGUAGAUAUAGUUUUCCCUGUUUCUCCCACUAUGCACAAAUAAAAGCCCAGGGCAUUAUCUAUAAAAUAUGCAUAUAAAAAUGUAAGAAGACUCUUACCAUGAAGAGAAGACAGGCCAACUAGGGACCUUGGGACCCAAGGAAUGAUACAGCAGUCAGUUUUCUGGCUUUUCUUUUUACCUCAUAUUUCCCAGACUUGGAGCUGAGGAAAUGAGUAACCUGGAAACACUAAAAGGCACAGACCAAAAAAAGCCCCAACAGGCCGGGCACAGUGGCUCACGCCUGUAAUCCCAGCACUUUGGGAGGCCUGGGUGGGUGAAUCACCUGAGGUCAGGAGUUCGAGACCAGCCUGGUCAACAUGAUGAAAUGUCUCUACUAAAAAUACAAAAAAUUAGCCAGGCAUGGUGGCGGGCGUCUGCAGUCCCAGCUACUCGGGAGGCUGAGGCAGAAGAAUCGCUUAGAGCCCGGGAGGUUGCAGUGAGCCAGAUUGUGCCACUGCACUCCAGCCUGGGUGACAGAGAAAGGCUCUGUCUCAAAAAAAAAAAAAAAGUCCCAGCAAAAGCCUGCUCUUUCUAGCCAAAGGACCAGGGAAGGGGCAUCCUGGUAUGAUAGAGGGCAUUAGGCAACUGCCACUCUAGUCCCUCAAGAGGCUGUGCUGAGGUACGCCAACACCCCUGCUGGGGUAGCCUCAGACAAGGUUAAGUAGGGAGCUGGGCCUUCAUGUGAGCAGGCCAGUGACAAGGCCCCACCUGGGGCACCACUGGAGACCAGGAACUCCCACCCAGCCAGCCCAGCACUAAUCAGGGCCCUGCCUUGGGUGUCAGCAGAGGCCUUGCGGGGAGCCUGGACUUCCACCUCCACCCGCAGUGGGCGGCACCCACCCUUCCCCUACAGGGCCGUGUCAGGGAAGGACGGCUAAAACAGAAGGGCACUAAGAAGGUGUCAAUAGGACAAAGACCGACAAUCUGAUAGGGAAUAGGCAAAAUACAAGCAUAGAAAAGAAGAUAAGAAUCACGCUACCUUCUUAAGCUGCUUCCAUGAUCAAUGAUCUGUACUUAAAAUCAUUUUCACAUAUGGUAAGUAGCAAACAAGAGGUGGUAUUCUUUCUUGAGAUGGAGUCUCGCUCUGUCGCCCAGGCUGGAGUGCAGUGGCGUGAUCUCGGCCCACUGCAAGCUCUGCCUCCCAGGUUCACGCCAUUCUCCUGCCUCAGCCUCCCUAGCAGCUGGGACUACAGGCGCCCGCCACCACGCCCG